GACGUAGGAGGCGAGCGUUAUCCGGAUUCACUGGGCGUAAAGGGCAUGUAGGCGGCUGGACAAGUCCUUCGUGAAAGCCCCCGGCUCAACUGGGGGAGGACGGAGGAGACUGUUCGGCUUGAGGGUAGCAGAGGUCGGUGGAACUCCCGGUGUAGCGGUGGAAUGCGUAGAGAUCGGGAAGAACAUCAGUGGCGAAGGCGACCGACUGGGCUGCAACUGACGCUGAAAUGCGAAAGUGUGGGGAGCAAACGGG
rnacentral:rRNA from 1 species